AAUCAUUAUAUUUGUUUCUUGUUAUCAAUAAAUACAUGUUAAACACCAAUAAAAAUCAUACAAUUAAAAGCAAAAUAAUCAUAAUGUUAAUCUUGUUAAAAAUGUAUAUGACACAAUCAACAUAAUCUAUCAAUAAUCAAAUAAUUACACACAAGUAUCUAAAAAGUUGAGGAUGGACCUAAUCUUUCUGGUUGUAUUUUCUUACGGACUGAAACAUAUAUCUUUAUAGAUUCAAUUAUCAUAUGUAUAUGCAAAAUAAAGAUAAUUGUAAAUUUAUA